AGCUUAGUAGCUCAGGGGAAGAGCGCCGGGCUCAUAACCCGGAGGCCAUUAGAUCGAAACUAAUCUAAGCUA
rnacentral:tRNA from 1 species